CCUCACGAUGUCCAACCGUGAUUAGCCCACCUUCGUGCUCCUCCGUUACUCUUUAGGAGGAGACCGCCCCAGUCAAACUACCCACCAGACACUGUCCUCACCCCGGAUAACGGGGCUAAGUUAGAAUAUCAAACAUAUAAGGGUGGUAUUUCAAGGUCGGCUCCACCCAUACUAGCGUACUGGUUUCAAAGCCUCCCACCUAUCCUACACAUAUAAGUUCAACAUUCAGUGCCAAGCUGUAGUAAAGGUUCACGGGGUCUUUCCGUCUAGCCGCGGGUAUACUGCAUCUUCACAGCAAUUUCAAUUUCACUGAGUCUCGGGUGGAGACAGCAUGGCCAUCAUUACGCCAUUCGUGCAGGUCGGAACUUACCCGACAAGGAAUUUCGCUACCUUAGGACCGUUAUAGUUACGGCCGCCGUUUACCGGGGCUUCGAUCAAAAGCUUUGACUUUUUAUAAGUCUAACCUUAUCAAUUAACCUUCCGGCACCGGGCAGGCGUCACACCGUAUACUUCAUCUUACGAUUUUGCACAGUGCUGUGUUUUUAAUAAACAGUUGCAGCCAUCUGGUAUCUGCGACUUUCAACAGCUAUAUUCGCAAAGAACUUCACCGUUAAAAGUGUACCUUCUCCCGAAGUUACGGUACCAAUUUGCCUAGUUCCUUCACCCGAGUUCUCUCAAGCGCCUCGGUAUUCUCUACCUGACCACCUGUGUCGGUUUAGAGUACGAUUCUUUACAAUCUGUAAGCUUAGAGGAUUUUCCUGGAAGCAUGGCAUCAAUGACUUCACUACCAUAGCAGCUCGACAUCAUAUCUCAGCGUAAAAUAAUCCGGAUUUCCCUAAACUAUUCGCCUACAUAUUUGAACCUGGACAACCGUCGCCAGGCACACCUAGCCUUCUCCGUCCCCCCAUCGCAAUUGCAAAAAGUACGGGAAUAUUAACCCGUUUACCAUCGAUUACGCCUAUCGGCCUCACCUUAGGAGUCGACUUACCCUGCCCCGAUUAACGUUGGACAGGAACCCUUAGUCUUCCGGCGUGAGGGUUUUUCACCCUCAUUAUCGUUACUCAUGUCAGCAUUCGCACUUCUGAUACCUCCAACAUGCCUUACGACAUAUCUUCAACAGCUUACAGAACGCUCCCCUACCCAAUAUAACCAGUUGGUUAUAUUGCCGCAGCUUCGGUUUGUAGCUUAGCCCCGUUAUAUCUUCCGCGCAGGCCGACUCGACUAGUGAGCUAUUACGCUUUCUUUAAAUGAUGGCUGCUUCUAAGCCAACAUCCUAGCUGUUUAAGCCUUCCCACAUCGUUUCCCACUUAGCUACAAAUUAGGGACCUUAGCUGGCGGUCUGGGUUGUUUCCCUUUCCACGAUGGACGUUAGCACCCACCGUGUGUCUCCCGGACAUUACUUACUGGUAUUCGGAGUUUGCAAAGGGUUGGUAAGUCGGGAUGACCCCCUAGCCUUAACAGUGCUCUACCCCCAGUAGUAUUCAUCCGAGGCGCUACCUAAAUAGCUUUCGGGGAGAACCAGCUAUCUCCAGGUUUGAUUGGCCUUUCACCCCUAACCACAAGUCAUCCGCUAAUUUUUCAACAUUAGUCGGUUCGGUCCUCCAGCUGAUGUUAUUCAACCUUCAACCUGCUCAUGGCUAGAUCACCUGGUUUCGGGUCUAUAUCCAGAGACUAAAAUAGCCCAGUUAAGACUCGGUUUCCCUUCGGCUCCCUUAUGCAGUUAACCUUGCCACUGAAUAUAAGUCGCUGACCCAUUAUACAAAAGGUACGCAGUCACACUGAAUAACAGCGCUCCUACUGCUUGUAUGUACACGGUUUCAGGUUCUAUUUCACUCCCCUCACAGGGGUUCUUUUCACCUUUCCCUCACGGUACUAGUUCACUAUCGGUCAGUCAGUAGUAUUUAGCCUUGGAGGAUGGUCCCCCCAUAUUCAAACAGGAUAUCACGUGUCCCGCCUUACUCGAUUUCACUAAUAAUGUACUGUCGGUUACGGGGAUAUCACCCUGUAUCACAGCACUUUCCAGAGCUUUCACCUAAUACAUUAAUAGUUUAAGGGCUACUCCAAUUUCGCUCGCCACUACUUUCGGAAUCUCAUAUUGAUUUCUACUCUUCGAGGUACUUAGAUGUUUCAGUUCCCUCGAUUUACUUCAUAAUGCUAUAUAUUCACAUUAUGAUAUACACUUGCGUGUAUAGGUUUCCCCAUUCGGAAAUCCCAGACUCAAGCGGAUUUUACUUCCUUAUCUAGGCUUAUCGCAAGUUAAUACGUCCUUCAUCGCCCCUGACUGCCAAGGCAUCCACCGGUGUACACUUAAUUACUUAACCAUACAACCCUAAAAAGUUUUAAUAUAACAAAUAAUUUAUCUUUCUAUUAAAUUAAUGCCAGGAUAACUUUAUUAUCCUAAAUUAACUAACAGAAUUAUCUGUCUAGUUUUCUAAAUUGUUAAAGAACAGGCUUUAACUAUUAUUUAAAUUGGUAAUUUUAAUCGUUUAAUCAUUGGUGGGCAAUACUGGACUCGAACCAGUGACCCCCUGCUUGUAAGGCAGGUGCUCUACCAACUGAGCUAAUCG
rnacentral:rRNA from 1 species